AGAAUUUGAUCCUGGUUCAGAUUGAACGCUGACGGCGUGGAUAAGGCAUGCAAGUCGAACGGAAAUAUACGAGCUUGCUCGUAUUUUUUAGUGGCGAAAGGGUUAGUAAUACAUGAAUAAUCUGCCUUCUACUCUGGAAUAACGUUUGGAAACGAGCGCUAAUACCGGAUGUGGUGAUUUUAUCAAAAGAUAGAGUCAUUAAAGUGGGGGACCAUUUGGCCUUGCGGUAGAAGAGGGGUUCAUGGGAUAUCAGCUUGUUGGUGAGGUAAUGGCUCACCAAGGCUAAGACGUCUAGGCGGAUUGAGAGAUUGAUCGCCAACACUGGGACUGAGACACUGCCCAGACUCCUACGGGAGGCUGCAGUCGAGAAUCAUUCGCAAUGGGCGAAAGCCUGACGAUGCGACGCCGUGUGACUGAAGAAGGCCUUCGGGUUGUAAAAGUCUUUCGCUGGGGAACAAGAAUUAUGCAGUAAUAUUGUAUAAUUUUGAUGGUACCCGGUAAAGAAGCACCGGCUAACUCCGUGCCAGCAGCUGCGGUAAUACGGAGGGUGCAAGCGUUAAUCGGAUUUAUUGGGCGUAAAGAGCGCGUAGGCGGGAAAUUAAGUCAGACGUGAAAGCCCGAGGCUCAACCUCGGAAUAGCAUCUGAAACUGGUUUUCUUGAGGGUAGGCGGAGAGAACGGAAUUCCACAAGUAGCGGUGAAAUGCGUAGAUAUGUGGAAGAACACCGGUGGCGAAGGCGGUUCUCUAGCUUACUCCUGACGCUGAGGCGCGAAAGUGUGGGUAGCAAACAGGAUUAGAUACCCUGGUAGUCCACACCGUAAACGAUGUGUACUUGGUGUAGAUUGGCUCAACCCAGUCUGUGCCGUAGCUAACGUGUUAAGUACACCGCCUGAGGAGUACGCUCGCAAGGGUGAAACUCAAAAGAAUUGACGGGGGCCCGCACAAGCAGUGGAGCAUGUGGUUUAAUUCGAUGCAACGCGAAGAACCUUACCCAGGUUUGACAUAUAGAGGACAGUAGUGGAAACACUAUCUCUCUUCGGAGUCUCUAUACAGGUGCUGCAUGGCUGUCGUCAGCUCGUGCCGUGAGGUGUUGGGUUAAGUCCCGCAACGAGCGCAACCCUUAUCAUUAGUUGCCAACACGUAAUGGUGGGAACUCUAGUGAGACUGCCUAGGUUAACUAGGAGGAAGGUGAGGAUGACGUCAAGUCAGCAUGGCCCUUAUACCUGGGGCUACACACGUGCUACAAUGGACGGUACAGAAGGCAGCGAAGCCGAGAGGUGGAGCAAAUCCAGAAAAGCCGUCCUCAGUUCGGAUUGUAGUCUGCAACUCGACUACAUGAAGUUGGAAUUGCUAGUAAUGGCGUGUCAGCAAUAACGCCGUGAAUACGUUCCCGGGCCUUGUACACACCGCCCGUCACAUCACGGGAGUUGGUUUUACCCGAAGCCGUUGACUCAACCGCAAGGAGAGAGGCGUCUAAGGUGAGGCUGAUGACUAGGAUGAAGUCGUAACAAGGUAGCCCUACCGGAAGGUGGGGCUGGAUCACCU
rnacentral:rRNA from 1 species